rnacentral:lncRNA from 1 species
GUGAGUGGGACCUCAGCCCAGCGUGUGUCUGUGUGUUCCUGCUCACAAGGAGAGCGCUGGGAGAGAGCACAGCGUACUCUGCCUGGGAGGACUCCUGUGGACUAGGAGUGGUGUAGAAGGAGUGGUUGCUCUUCUCUUGUACUGUAGCCAUGCAGUUUUUUAUCUGGAUACUGGGCUGCUUAAUGCUGGAUUCUUUCCUGCUUGGACUAUGCGUGGAGGGUCGAUGGAGAGCAUCUCACAUGUUUCCCGUUUGUAUCAAGAAUGGUCCACCCAAAGGACAUCCAGCCAACUUGACACAACUGUGGAAAGCGUUGGAGUCAACAUGGGCCAGCGUCCCUGUGGAAUGCUUUCAACACCUUGUGGAGUCCAUGCCCCAACAAAUUCAGGCUGUUCUGAGGGGAAAAGGCGGGGGUGCAACUAAUAUUAGGAAGGUGUUCCUA